UAGCCCGGUCGGUUUGAAAACUUAUGGGGACCUUCGGUAGCCAUUUCUUUUUUGUUUACCAUAUUUUCCACAUGGGUUUACAUGGGAAAGUUUAAGUCUGCAAGGGUUACUUUUUCAAAGGGGAAAUGCAAGCAAAACACCAUGCUGUACACCCUCUUCCUUCUGAGGGUCAUGAAAGUUUAAAUGAUGAUUGUACAAUACAAAACAAUUCAACUACAUCAUCACAUACAGAUCGAGACAGGAGGAACAUACAGUAGUUUUCUACAGAGUCAAGAGGAACACCGUUAACUACAGAGACAAUGUGGAAAUGGAGGACAGCGCAAAGGUUACAACAUUAAUACACAUGGAAAGAACAAAGAUGUUUAUAGUUUUAUGUAUAGUUUAUUUUUAAGAGCUUGUUAACCAAAUUUGUAACCCAGCUGUGUUUUUAUUGUCUCAAAUCUUCUUGACUAUUUUCACAAUAAAAUAAAAAGUACUUUAUUCAUCCCCAAGCUGAUCAAUUUAAGCCUGAUGCAAAAAAGUGUGGGGUGACAAAACUUAUAACUUAUACGUUAUAACGUGAUAUAUAAGUGAGGAGACACAUUAUUUGUAAGUGUCUUUAUUAUGAAUAUUGGCACUUCAUUUUAUGUAAAUAUUUACAACUCUGAAAGGCCAAAUUAAUAGAAUAAAUUGAAUAGAA